ensembl:lncRNA
CCCCCCACGAGGCCCUCAGUGUUCUGUUUUAUGUAGUCUGACUGAGUGAGGAACCCUUCAUCUGAAAUCCCAAAUAGUCAAAACAAAACAUUCAAACAUGACAGGAGUCUGGGGUACUUUAAGGAACAUCUAAACUAAACUGGGGGUUACUUUAAGGAACAUCUAAACUAAACUGGGGGUUACUUUAAGGAACAUCUAAACUAAACUGGGGGUUACUUUAAGGAACAUCUAAACUAAACUGGGGGAGACUUUAAAGAACAUCUAAACUAAACUUGGGGUUACUUUAAGGAACAUCUAAACUAAACUGGGGGUUACCAAAAGCUCAGUUGUCUCGUCUCACAGCUCCUCUCUCACACUGGACCCAUGAAUGACUCAUGAAUGACCCUCGCAGUAGCACACUGUCCCUCACGCUAGCAGGUUUAGAGGCCUCAAACUCUGCUGAUCCACAACGGGGAACUCCAGACCCAAACAGGCUAGCGUAGAGUUAGCGUAGCGUAGCCUAGCGCUAGCCGCGUUUAAGCCAUGUUUACCACAUGAUUUAGUCAGGCAGAAUGUGUCUUCUCCUUGUGCUAGCUCACGUCUGGACAUUGUUCUGUUGUUAGUGUAGUUCUGUUGUUGGUAUAGUUUGUUAUGACUCCAACAUGCGGGUCCUGCCUUAUCAGAGGCUCUCGUGUCCACCUCUGUUUGCUGUUUUUAAAUGUCUUCACCUGUUUACUGUGUUCACUCCUAGAGUAGCCCAUAGAGUUGUGUUUUUGCACCCUCUUGUGGAUCCCUCUGGUAGUGCGGAAUGCCUUGGACAGACUUGAUUUCUUCAGCAGUGACCCCAGACUCGGCUGCCUGGUUGCUAUGCAGCGCCAGUGACCCCCAGACUUGGCUGCCUGGUUGCUAUGCAGCGCCAGUGACCCCCAGACUCGGCUGGCUGGUUGCUAUGCAGUGCCAGUGACCCCAGACUCGGCUGGCUGGUUGCUAUGCAGUGCCAGUGCCUCCUCAGUCGGCUGAGUGUAUGCUGCGUCACGUCCCGUCCCGUCCCGAAGCCCAACCUUAGCUCUUCUCCUCUCUCUGUGUCAGAGACGGGAGUCCUCAGCACUAACUGUCAGCCAUAUAGAACCUCAUCUUCAUGUCAUACUGUUUGGAGAACUUCAUUGCCUUUUGUUCUUUCUGCAGGAGCAGGAGCUCUCUAAAGGUUUAUUUAGUCUCCUGUUCCUAGGCCUCAUACUGCAAUGGUCUCGUGGGUCCAUAUUGUGUUGACAUAUACCAUAUCAACCUAAAGAGUGUCUGUUGUGUUAUGUUGGUAAUGUUUUACAUUAAAGAUUCCUUUAACUAAUAUCAGUGACAUGCCAUGCCAGGCCACAUGAACUUAUACGUGUGUUUGUUUUGUCAGUGUUCAAGUUAUUGGUUUCUUUGUGUUAUUUAAUGCAUUCUGUGUGGUUAGUCAGGGACCCUUAAUAUAAAGCAUUGCUGAACUGCUACAUCGGGAUAUUCAUGAGGUUUCAUAAUGUGAAUGUAUGUACAUGCACCUUGUGUGUGUGUGUGUGUGCCCCCACCCCCCCCCUCUCUCUCUCUGUCUCCUCCCCCCCCUUCCCUGUGUCCUGUCUGUUGGCCUGUCCAUCUUGUUUGUUUAGAUAAAGGGUAGCAUAGGCUAAUUAAUGAUAGCGUUAGCCCUGCUUAGUUGCCUUACAGUCCGGCCAGCCGGAGGCUGCUCUUGUGGUUAGCAUGGGUCCUCUAGCCUGCAUGAGAGAAUGUGCACUCAUGUUCGAUAAUGCAGAUCUUUAAGAUUACUGGCUUACAAAAAAGGAGAGGUUGGAGCUGGGUUGAGGGGUAGCUGAUUAAUGCCCCAGUUUAGGAGAGGUUGUAGCUGGGUUUAGGGGUAGCUGAUUAAUGCUCCAGUGUAGGAGAGGUUGUAUCUGGGUUGAGGGGUAGCUGAUUAAUGCUCCAGAGUGGGAGAGGUUGGAGCUGGGUUUAGGGGUAGCUGAUUAAUACCCCAGUGUGGGAGGAGUUUGAUAUGUUUUUUGCAGCAUGGUCAGAGAACUCCCUGGCAACCAGUAGACUCUUGUGUGAAUGGCUAAGAAUCACCACUAGAUGCACUGUGGUGACUGUUUGAACUCCUCCUCCGUCACUCAAAGCAGCAGUCCGUCAUUGAGUCCUCUGAGUUCACUGUUUGUUUGUUUGUUUGUUUGUAUCUGCUUUCCUGUUGCUAUUUUAGUGAAGUUUCUGUCCAAAGAUACUGAAGUGAUUUGACUUGACUGAGAGACAGGGCCAAAUGAAUGAGGGCCUCCUGCAGCGUUUGGAGUGAGGUGUGAAAAAAGACUGUGGUUGUUAUGGGAACACUGUUUAACUUCAUGUAGCUGAACUGUGAACGAUGGGCGUUUAAAAUAAUUUAAUAUAGUAAUAAUAAUAAUAAUAAUGAUAUGGUUCCCACUGUUUUCUCCACUCAUACAUGCUGAUGUUAAAGGGCAUUUAGCCGCGCCAGUUGUUCAGAGAAGGAGAAAAGGUUUACAGAAGGGCGGCUCCCAUGGUCGUGCCCACACACACACACACACACACACACACACACACACACACCUGAGACUGGCAGUAGCAUCAGCACAACUGUCUCCAAGAUGACAUGUUUUUUUCUUUUUUUGUGUACUGUCAAUGUUCAGCAUGAAGAGCCAAGUGAGGACGAUCUGAUGUCCACUAAACUAAACUAAACUAAUCUCAUGUAAUCGACACUGUGGGAUUGGUCGCCAUUACCAGGCAGUACUGUUGCUAUUGCUAAUGUAUUUGUUUAAGCUGUUGCUGUUCGCUAUCAUUUCUGUUUCUUUUAUUAUUAUUUUUCUCCAUCUUUGCAGUGUAGCUGUUGUUUCUGUUAUGCAUAAAUUACUUAAUAAACAACAACAACGACAAAUGUUA